GUGGCUGUAGGAAGCAGCAGACGCUGGAGGUGGGUGUGGGCAGGGCCCCUGGGGGGCCUCUCAGGAACCUCCAAACAUCCUUGAGAAGUAGGCCGGGCUGCCCCAAACUGGGGCAGGUGCAGGGAAUCUGGGCCGGGGGCACCGUGGGUCCCCAGGGCUGGGCCUUGUGCACUGGUGCCUCUCUACCACCUGCCCCUGUGGGGAGAGUCCAGGGCAGGGCCACCGGGCCACCUCCAUCCCAUCGGCCUCUGGCUCUCAUGAGCACACGGUCCUUUGCCACCUCUGGACUGCACGACAGAUAAGUGGUGGGGCUGGGAUCCGCACUCAGGCCUCCUGGUGCCCGGGUUUGGCCUCUUUUCGGGUGUAUCACAUUGCCGUGGGGAGCGGGGACCCAGGACUGCCCAUCAGAGUCAACCAGCCCAGCCCAGGCUAGUGCCUGGCAUGCAGGACAGAUGCUCUGUAGAGAUCGUGGACUGCCCUGCUGACAUGUAAAGCACCCAGCAUGCAGUAAACGCUCAGCAAAUGGGAAACCAGCUUGUGGGUAAGUAUGUAAGACGGGUAGACGCAGACCUCCCCAGCCCCUCGGGCUCACUUCCUACCUCAUCUCCUCCAGGAAGCCUCCUAUGAUGCCACCUCCACCAAGCAAGCAAUCUUAUUUAUGAUCUUCUCCUGACCCCUCAUGCUCUGCUGUCCCGCUGGCAGGGUCCGAUUGACCUCCACAUCCUCUCCCACCUUCCCGCUCCCCAGGUCCCCUCGAGUGUCACAUUCCUCAGAUAGGACACAGAUUGGUGGGCUCCGGGAGCUGAGGACAGAGAGAGGGAAGGGAAGCCCCUGAGUAUCCUCCCUGGGACAGCCCCUUCUUCAGGAGAGAGACACCCAGACCAUGGGGAAGGGUUUGGACACAGGAGCCGUGCUCCAAGGUCUGGUCUGGCCCGGGGUCAGGCCUCACCUUCUGGACCUUGCUUUCCCCUGCACCGCCAGGGGACUGCCCAGCUUGGAGACACUCCAGGAAGGCUGCCCCUCUGUCAUCUGGGGUCCUGUGCCCGCCUCAGCCCCGUUUCUCGUCCUUUCACAUCUCAGGAAGCCCUCAGUCCUUCCCUGCCCCCUAACACAGGGCACUUUCUUUCUCAACCCCGCAGCCACACCUGUCUCCACAGAGCCUGGAAGACCCUUGCUAAGACUUCUGUGAGAAGGAGGCCUUGUUCUUGCUGUCUGCACAGUGCCCUCACCUGGCACCCCCAGCCCCAAGGGGUGUUCUCCCCCAAGAAGAUGGGCCCUGCUCUCCUCCCUUCCCAGCAUGAAGGCCAAAUGCCUCAUACAUGUGCGCACGUGUCUGUGAACUUCCAGCCUCAACAUGGCCCACACCGGCCUCUGCCAAUAGACUUGGAAUGAGGAGGGCAUCCCAGCUGGGCUCCUGAGGUUGAGGACAGCCAGAAGAGAAGGCUUGGAGCCCCAAGGCAGAGACCCAAGACCUAAGGUGACAAAUUCUACCGCCAAUAAUCGCUUGUGAAAAAUCAACAGUGAAGCCCAGCGGCUCCCGGCCUGGAGAAAUUUGAGUGGAUUUCCGGAAGAGCAAGGUGGAAAAAACCCAGGGGCAGCAGUGGGACCCAGGAGUGGGGGGGCCUGGGAGGGAGGGCUCCGCUCAGCACAGCGCAGGACCGGGCUGCACCUCGGGGGAGGGCCCCACUGUGCCCCACUCCUCCCAUCGCAUCACGAAGCCUUUGCAUAGGAUGAUCCCUCUGCCUGGAAUGGCCCUUCUUCUCCCCCUCCUCUACAAGACGACAGGGGGUGCGCAGGAGACACUGGGGAACAGGUGCUGCUAGAGGGAGGCUAGAGAAAGGGCAGUAAUGGCAGAAAGGGGCAGAUGGGCCUAUUCUGAAGGCCCUAAGCUGAAAUGCUGGGGAGGAGCUGGAUCACUUGCAGGACAAUAGGGAGCCAUGGAAGGUUUUUGAGCAGGAGAUGGAUAUGUGGAAAGCUCUGCUUCACUCGGCUUGUCCGUGCCUCUUCAAGUCUUCAGGGGAAGACUUGCUCGGUCUCCAGGGACCCAAGCCCUCAUCCUUUCUUGGGAAGGAGUGUAAAGAAUGCAUGGAGGUGCGGCGGUGAUGGGGUGCGAGGGGACAGGUUGGGAUGACUAACGCAGAUGGUAGGCCACCCCUGUGCCUGUCUUAUGUCAGGGUCAGGGCUCCUACAGGGCAGUGCAAAUGGCGAGUGGGUGAGCCGGGCUUGGAGCCCAGGUCUGUCUGACCACAAGGCCCCAGCAGGAGGAGGAUCCUGGUAGCGACCUGCCUGUGGGAAGAAUUCCCCUAAAUGGUCUCAUUUGUGCCUCUUCUUCAUUCUGAGGAGGGACUCUGUCCUCACUGACCCAUUUUGCAGACGAGGAAACCAAGGUUCAGAACUGUCAGGGGGUCGAGUUCACCAACGAAACCAGUAUUUCUGGCUUCUGAAGCAGUGCUUGGCACAUGGCAGGUGCUUAACGAAGGGAUGGGAGUCAGGCUUUGAGGCUUUGGACUCCAGAAUCAGUUCUCUCCAAAUAGCACCCAAGAGAUUUCUCGGAGAUGGGGCUGUUCUCAGACAGUGUGAAAACCCCAGAAAUAGAACUUUCCGGGAAACCUUCAACCAUCUUGGAAACAUGGCCCAGUGAGGGAAAGUGGCUUGCCUAGGGCUACAUAGCACACUAGUGACAGAGCAGGGACCAGGACCCAGGGCUUUAGACUCUCCUUCCUCCUCUAGGCCCAGGCUGGUGAGCACAGUGGGCUCAGCCCAGAGCUGGAGAGGAAAGGCAGGUACUGCCAACCUAGUUCCGACCUCCACAGCUGCACAGGAGGGCCUGAGACAGGCAAGGAGAGAGGAUGGCUGGCCAUAGUGGUGGAGCAGCAGGACUCCAGAGGGGACAGCAGUAAGGUGGGAGGGACUGAACUCCUUCAGCUCCUGCCCUACACCACUGCCGUGCGAGCCUCUGAGGCCCACCCGACCCACUCAAGACUGCACCGCCCCUCCCAUGCUGCCACAUCGCCACUAAGCACACAAUUUCCAUGGUGACCCCUGCCCCCUGGCUGCUGGUGAGGUCGGUGGGUGCCCCUCAUGGUCCGGCUCACUUGGUCUCUCUCCCUCUUUCUCUCCAUCCCUCUUUAUCCCUCCCCUUCUCCCUUCCUCUCUCCUUCUCGCUCUCAGUCCAGUCUCUGCCCUGCUGCCCUCCAUCCAUCUAGUUCUCUCCUAGACUUCAGCUUCAGACAGACGUGGUUUGAAAGCUGCAGCCCCGGCCUUCCUCAAUUGUGUGACCUUGGCUACGCCCACGUGCCCAUUGCCUCACCUGGGCCUCACUUUUCUCAUCUGUACCAUGGAGUUGGCACCCCUGGCUCUGGCCUCAAGGUUUGCCGUGCCUGCAGAGGCCCCUGAGCAUUCAGCAGGUACUCACUCAGUGGGAGCUGCCAGACGCAGAAUGUGUGAUGGGAAUCAUUGGAUGCGGCCGCCUCUCCACCCACCCGCCACCUGACACCGCCUCCUGGCUCUCCAUCACUGCCCAGGAGUCGGGCAGCCUCCCCGCUCCCUGCUAUUUCUUCUCUGGAGCUUCCCAGGAGGUUAAUAGCAGCUUCUCACCAGGAUAUUUGGCUUUUUUUAGGAAUCUCCUUGCCUCUUUCUUCUCUGUGAGGAUAUUCUCAGGAUGGCUGUGGCAGAGAAGGGAAGGAAGGAGACUCUCUAGGCAUUUGCCAACUAAGAGGGGCACUUAGGAGUAGGUGGGGUGCCAGUUCCAGGCAGGACUUGGGGCAGACAGUGCCCUGUUUCCAGAACAGCUCCCAGUGCUGGGCUGGGCUGGGCUUAAAUGCAGUGGGAGAAGCUCAGGGGUGGGGUGGGGUCACAGGCUCCACUUGGUCAUUUGAGUAUGGGGGUGUCUGUGAGCCCGGUGGGGCCUCAGUCUCCCCUCCUGGAAGGUGGGCCUGAUGAUCUAUGCCAGCCUCUAAAGGAAGGGAAAGAGUUUCGCUGAGCUGCAGGUGGAGGUGCAGACAAGGUGAGGGGCUGGAGUCAGGGGAGGCCAGCAGAGCGCCCAGGACCCCUCUGGCUCCACCCCAGGUCCUUGGGCUCCACCUGCUCUCAGCCCUGUCCUGAGCCCAGGAAUGGUCCCAGGACUGAGAAGGAGGUCAAAACUCUGCAGCCCUUCCACUACUACUUCGGGGGGCUCAGCACAGCUCCUCCGGGCUCAUGUCCCCAGGCCCUUCCCCGGUGUGACCCCCCCAACCAGCCCCGCACAGGAGCGGAGGUCCACCUCUUAUGUGUGUGUUUUAAAUUGCAGUAAAAUGUACGUAACAUGAAAUUGACCAUUUUAGCUUUGUAAGUAUACAGGUCCAUGGCAUUCGGUACAUUCACAAUCCCGUGUGGCCGUGACCAUCAUCCAUUUCCGGGGCUUCUGCAUGAUCCCGAAUAGAAGCUUGCAUGCCCUGUGCCACGCCCCCUCCCACCUCAACCCCCCCGUAACCGCUGGUCUUCGUCUCUAUGAAUUAAACUAUUCCAGGUACCUCCCAUCAGUGAAAUCAUAAAAUAUAUGUUCUUUUGCA